CAACGCCUAUAAAUAUCACAACUCCAUCAGAUAAAAAAAUGUCCAACUUGGGGUAGAUCAAAGGAAAAUUAAGCAAAGACUCCUCAGAAUCGAUCCAUACGAUUUAUACCACAACUUGUGAAAGCAUGAAGGCCGUUCCAGUUCUUGUCUGCAUCCUGUUGGUGAUCACGUUAUCUGCUGCUGCUCCGGCGAGAAAGUUGGUCAGAGAUGAUGGACAGCAGACAGGCGAAACACAAACGAAAAUGGAAGUGAUUGAUGGGAGGCCAUCAUCUGGUUACGGUGACCAUGUCUGCCCAAGAAGCAUGUUCCCUGGUUGCUCAUAAUGGUUGGAAAGGGUCGUUUCUAAUGGUCGUGGUUGACAGGAAAACUGUCUGCUAGCUACAUCAAUGACGGAUCAAGAAAUAUUGCAGCGAAAGGUUUAUAUGUAUAAAUAAGCUGAUGCUAUAUACAACAGAAAGAUCGUCUAUCUCUUUUAA